rnacentral:misc_RNA from 1 species
UAAAAAAGUCGGGCUUGGGUUUAACCCAAGACCUGCCCCCAAAAGGGACCUUUUGUGCACUGUAAAAUUUUUUCACUUAAGCUUUGUCUGAUUGAUAUUUGUACCGAAAGGGACAAGAAUUUUAAUCUAAAA